GACGAACGCUGGCGGCGUGCUUAACACAUGCAAGUCGAACGGAAAGGCCCUGCUUAUGUGGGGUGCUCGAGUGGCGAACGGGUGAGUAACACGUGAGUAACCUGCCCUCGACUUUGGGAUAACUUCAGGAAACUGGGGCUAAUACCGGAUAGGAGCUCCUGCUGCAUGGUGGGGGUUGGAAAGUUUCGGCGGUUGGGGAUGGACUCGCGGCUUAUCAGCUUGUUGGUGGGGUAGUGGCUUACCAAGGCUUUGACGGGUAGCCGGCCUGAGAGGGUGACCGGCCACAUUGGGACUGAGAUACGGCCCAGACUCCUACGGGAGGCAGCAGUGGGGAAUAUUGCACAAUGGGCGGAAGCCUGAUGCAGCAACGCCGCGUGCGGGAUGACGGCCUUCGGGUUGUAAACCGCUUUCGCCUGUGACGAAGCGUGAGUGACGGUAAUGGGUAAAGAAGCACCGGCUAACUACGUG
rnacentral:rRNA from 1 species